CCGAUAUCGACGAGUUUGAUCCUGGCUCAGGACGAACGCUGGCGGCGUGCCUAACACAUGCAAGUCGAGGGUUUUAGUAGUAAUACGAAGAACACUGGCGCACGGGUGAGUAACGCGUAGAUCAUCUGCCCCUAACACUGACAUAACAGUUCUAACGGACUGCUAAUAUCAGAUGUGAUAAGCAAUUAUUAAAGGGUAACCGGUUAGGGAUGAGUCUGCGUCUGAUUAGGUAGUUGGUGAGGUAACGGCUCACCAAGCCUACGAUCAGUAACUGGUCUGAGAGGACGAACAGUCACACUGGAACUGAGACACGGUCCAGACUCCUACGGGAGGCAGCAGUGAGGAAUAUUGCACAAUGGGAGAAAUCCUGAUGCAGCGACGCCGCGUGUGGGAAGAAGGAGCUUAGCUUCGUAAACCACUGUCGGAGGGGACGAAUGGUAGGUUAGACCUACUGAGACGGUACCCUCAAAGGAAGGAUCGGCUAACUACGUG
rnacentral:rRNA from 1 species